rnacentral:rRNA from 1 species
CGCUUGUUGGUGAGUAUGGCUCACCAAGGCGACGACGGGUAGCCGGCCUGAGAGGGCGACCGGCCACACUGGGACUGAGACACGGCCCAGACUCCUACGGGAGGCAGCAGUGGGGAAUAUUGCACAAUGGGCGAAAGCCUGAUGCAGCGACGCCGCGUGAGGGAUGACGGCCUUCGGGUUGUAAACCUCUUUCAGCAGGGAAGAAGCGAAAGUGACGGUACCUGCAGAAGAAGCGCCGGCUAACUACGUGCCAGCAGCCGCGGUAAUACGUAGGGCGCGAGCGUUGUCCGGAAUUAUUGGGCGUAAAGAGCUCGUAGGCGGCUUGUCGCGUCGGUUGUGAAAGCCCGGGGCUUAACCCCGGGUCUGCAGUCGAUACGGGCAGGCUAGAGUUCGGUAGGGGAGAUCGGAAUUCCUGGUGUAGCGGUGAAAUGCCCAGAUAUCAGGAGGAACACCCGUGGCGAAAGCGGGAUCUCUGGGCCGAUACUGACCCUGAAGAGCCAAA